CCUACGGGCGGCAGCAGUGGGGAAUAUUGCACAAUGGGGGAAACCCUGAUGCAGCGACGCCGCGUGAGUGAAGAAGUAUUUCGGUACGUAAAGCUCUAUCAGCAGGGAAGAAAAUGACGGUACCUGACUAAGAAGCCCCGGCUAACUACGGGCCAGCAGCCGCGGUAAUACGUAGGGGGCAAGCGUUAUCCGGAUUUACUGGGUGUAAAGGGAGCGUAGACGGCAGCGCAAGUCUGGAGUGAAAUCCCAUGGCUUAACCAUGGAACUGCUUUGGAAACUGUGCAGCUAGAGUGCAGGAGAGGUAAGCGGAAUUCCUAGUGUAGCGGUGAAAUGCGUAGAUAUUAGGAGGAACACCAGUGGCGAAGGCGACUUACUGGACUGUAACUGACGUUGAGGCUCGAAAGCGUGGGGAGCAAACAGGAUUAGAUACCCGGGUAGUC
rnacentral:rRNA from 1 species